rnacentral:rRNA from 1 species
UGAACCACUUCGGUGGGGAUUAGUGGCGAACGGGUGAGUAACACGUGGGCAAUCUGCCCUUCACUCUGGGACAAGCCCUGGAAACGGGGUCUAAUACCGGAUACAACACUCUCGGGCAUCCGAUGAGUGUGGAAAGCUCCGGCGGUGAAGGAUGAGCCCGCGGCCUAUCAGCUUGUUGGUGAGGUAACGGCUCACCAAGGCGACGACGGGUAGCCGGCCUGAGAGGGCGACCGGCCACACUGGGACUGAGACACGGCCCAGACUCCUACGGGAGGCAGCAGUGGGGAAUAUUGCACAAUGGGCGAAAGCCUGAUGCAGCGACGCCGCGUGAGGGAUGACGGCCUUCGGGUUGUAAACCUCUUUCAGCAGGGAAGAAGCGAAAGUGACGGUACCUGCAGAAGAAGCGCCGGCUAACUACGUGCCAGCAGCCGCGGUAAUACGUAGGGCGCGAGCGUUGUCCGGAAUUAUUGGGCGUAAAGAGCUCGUAGGCGGUCUGUCGCGUCGGAUG